rnacentral:tRNA from 1 species
GCUAGCGUAUCUUAGUGCAAAGCAUAACACUGAAGAUGUUAAGAUGGGCCAUGAGAAGCUCCGCAUGCA